GUGAGUCAUCGAAUCUUUGAACGCACCUUGCGCCCCUUGGUAUUCCGAGGGGCAUGCCUGUUUGAGUGUCAUUAAAUUAUCAACGUCGAUAAGCUUUAUCGCUCUUCGAUGCUUGGACUUUGGAGUUGUGCAGGCGUCUCUUCCGACAUCUGCUCCUCUUGAAAUGCAUUAGCAGUAACCCCCGCUUGCGGACCUGCCCCCAGCGUGAUAAUUAUCUACGUUGCGGUCGGCGACGCUCGUCUUCUGCUCACAACCGUCGCCCCAGGUGACAAUCUCAUAAAUGACAAUUUUGACCUCAGA
rnacentral:misc_RNA from 1 species